UCCUGGAUAGCUCAGUUGGUAGAGCACGAGACUCUUAAUCUCAGGGUCAUGAGUUCAAGCAGAAAAUUCCCGCAUUUCAGGGG